rnacentral:sRNA from 1 species
GCCAGGCACUGUGGAGCACGCCUGUAAUCCCAGUGGCUCGGGAGGCUGAGGCAGGAGGAUCACGAGUCCAAAACCAGCCUCAGCAAAAGCAAGGCACUAAGCAACUCAGUGAGACCCUGUCUCUA